rnacentral:rRNA from 1 species
UACGUAGGGUGCAAGCGUUUAAUCGGAAUUACUGGGCGUAAAGCGUGCGCAGGCGGUUUUGUAAGUCUGUCGUGAAAGCCCUCGGGCUCAACCUGGGAAUUGCGAUGGAGACUGCAAGGCUUGAAUCUGGCAGAGGGGGGAGUGAAUUCCGACGUGUAGCAGUGAAAUGCGUAGAGAUGCGGAGGAACACCGAUGGCGAA